GUAGGUCAAGAAUAUUCAAAGCAUACUCAUUCACUGAACCGAGUGGCUUAUUUCCAAAGCUGUUGAUUUGGAUAGUGCAUGACUGUCAGCAGUUCUAGACAUACUAUGGUACCUAUUUUAGUGUCAGCAAUCUGCAUCUCUUAGGCUCCCACAGUUUGUAAACUAAUUACUGCAAAUUCCAUUGACAAUGAUAUAAAACAGAAGGACAAUGAUCAAAGUACUCUGCUCCUCUGUGUUGGGUCUCAUUGUGAUGAGCCAAAUAGAAACAUCAAUAAAUGUCUAUUUAUUCAUCUGUUCAAACACUCUCUGCUGUUGUAUCCUCCUCACUGUUAGCCUAUCUAGGUUUUAAAUUUGCCACAUUUCUUAUGGAGUCCUAUCAUCCUAUGUUGGCUAUACUGGGCAAAGAGGACACAGAGGUCCCACCAUUUUUAUUUUGUUGUGUCAAUCUGAAAAAACAUACUGAAGUAUGUUACCUCCACUCAUCUUCGGAAGCCAUGGUGUUUGGCUCUCAGAAUUGAGGUCAUUGAAGUCAUUCUGAUACUGGCCCUACAUUGCAAAAAGAAGCAUAAUGUCCUUGCUUAAUUUUUUUCUUUGACAUUAUAGGAACAAGCAGCAAACCGGGAGUGCCCUAUAGUGGAGACUGAGAUUUGAGAUAGGUAUCUCCCACAAAGGCUUUAGGUGUCAUUUUGUAGCCUGGGAUACCCAGAAACAUAUAACUUGAAUCAUAUAUAUGUAUUUUCAUAUCCUUCUCAAAAUUCAAUGGCUCUAUUGAGACCAUGCUUCAGGGUUUUGGAAGAAACCUAAAAAUUAUCUGGAAAGUUAUAGAAAAUUAUGAAUACUGAAACCUACUCAUAGGACUUAUUCACUGAGCACUGGAAUCUGGCUCAUUUUGAUGAGUUGAUGGAGUUCAUUAACAACGACUAUGGUAAGAUGGAUUGGUGUAGAAUGUCUAAAAUCCCAAAUCUAGUUCAAUGGGUACUACCUGUCCACUGGCAGUAAUGAUUACUCCGGUGAGGUUGUUGGGGACAGCUUGAUAUGGCUGUCAUCUGGCUCUCAGCAACAGAUAUGCAUAUAAAGACAAAAUUAAGAAGACUGUAUGCAUGAACCCUGGGUAGUCUUGUCAUAAAGUAGCAUAUGGUCCCUGAUACAAGGCUUAUCAAGAUCAGAAAUGGUGUUGCUGAGAAGCUUUUGGCACAGGCAGAUGCCAAGACUGCAUGGUGACCAUUCAACCUCUUUCCUUGGAAGACCUGCUACAAAAGGGAUUAUUGGUCAGUGAUUAAAUUCCCUGAAAUUUCAGGCAGCAAGGUGGUGCUGGUUGGUGGGCACCCGAUGUGGAAGUGUUCAGAAAGUUGCUUAUUGAUUAGUUCUUAGAGUUGAAAAUAGUCUUUAAACUAACAUUGUGGUUUAUCAUUAUUGUGAUGGACUGUCUUAAGAAUCUGCAGAUGGAACAUUACAUAGGUUACUGCAAAGCCCCAUUGUGGUGCAGCUACUGAUAUCGGGCUAGUGGUGAUUGACUUUCUUGCUUCAAAUGCUUUUGGGCUCACACAAAGAUCUCAGCACUAACCAGUGCUUUCGUUCUGUGGGAUUAGAAGGGAACCGAGGGCAAUGAUUUAGGGAAAGAUCAUUCCUUCACUGAAACAUGAUUAUACAAAAAUUUGAAACAUUCGCGUUUUGGAAUAUACGCAAGACCUAUCUAUGACAUCAAGGAUGCUUUGCCUUCAACCUCUUUCAUCUCCUUCAUUCUGUUUGGCAGGUAGACUACAAGCCCACAUUUCUGAAAUAGAGAUAUAAAAGACGAAUUUUCUCAUAUUAGAAGUUCUUAUGUGGGAUUCAGCAGAAUAUAGAAGCCACAGUUCAUGAGCAUCUUAUCAUCUUCUUGCUCACCUGAUUAUCACCUUGUUUUAUUGAGGUUAGGUCAACAUAAAUACUCAUGGCUGCAGGUUGGAAUUCAAGAUGUGAGAGCAGAGGUGAUGCCGUCUGGAGAACUUGAUGCUAUACAUUCAUGUCAGAAAGAUGGAAGCACAGUUGCAAUGGUGGGUGAUGGAAUCAAUGAUUCACCAGCUCUUGUGGGUGCAGAUGUUGGGAUAGUGAUUGGAGCAGGGACAGAUAGCAUAGAAGCUGUCAAUUAUGUAUCGAUGAGAAAUAGUUUGGAAGAUGCCAUUACAGACAUUGAUCUCUUGAAAAAAAAAAAAACCUUUGCUUGUAUUCGAUUGAAUUAUGUGUUUGCCAUGGCAUACAAUGUGGUUGUCAUCCCAGUUGCAGCAGGAGUUUUAUUCCAUUUACUGAGGUUCAGGUUGCCACCUUGGGUAUCAAGGGCAUGCAUGGCCCUUUCAUCCGUAAGUGUUGUAUGUUCUUCUUUGCUUUUGAGAAGAAACGAAAGACCCAGACUUAAAACUCUAAUAGGGAUAACUGUAAAUUGAAAAUAAUAGCAUCAAUAGAAUAGGGGGAGAAAUAAGAAAAGGAAAAAAGUGAAAUGUUCUGGAAUGGAAUGGCUCAAUUUUGAGGGUCACUUCUUUACUGUGUAACAUUGCCAUUGGGUGGUUUGAAUCUGCACCACCAUUCUGUAUAAUGUUGAACGUCUAUCUCUCUCCAUUUGCUAUUUGAUUGAAUGAAACAAUUACAAUUUGUUC